UACGUAGGUCCCGAGCGUUGUCCGGAUUUAUUGGGCGUAAAGCGAGCGCAGGUGGUUUAUUAAGUCUGGUGUAAAAGGCAGUGGCUCAACCAUUGUAUGCAUUGGAAACUGGUAGACUUGAGUGCAGGAGAGGAGAGUGGAAUUCCAUGUGUAGCGGUGAAAUGCGUAGAUAUAUGGAGGAACACCGGUGGCGAAAGCGGCUCUCUGGUCUGCAACUGACGCUGAGGCUCGAAGGCAUGGGUAGCGAACAGG
rnacentral:rRNA from 1 species